UACGUAGGUGGCAAGCGUUGUCCGGAAUUAUUGGGCGUAAAGCGCGCGCAGGCGGUCUCUUAAGUCUGAUGUGAAAGCCCCCGGCUCAACCGGGGAGGGUCAUUGGAAACUGGGAGACUUGAGUACAGAAGAGGGGAGUGGAAUUCCACGUGUAGCGGUGAAAUGCGUAAAUAUGUGGAGGAACACCAGUGGCGAAGGCGACUCUCUGGUCUGUAACUGACGCUGAGGCGCGAAAGCUGGGGGAGCAAACCGG
rnacentral:misc_RNA from 1 species